rnacentral:rRNA from 1 species
CCUACGGGCGGCAGCAGUGGGGAAUAUUGGUCAAUGGCCGCGAGCCUGACCCAGCAACGCAGCGUGAAGGAAGAAGGCUUUCGGGGUGUUAAAUUCUUUUUAUAGGGGCGUAGAAAGUGACGGUACUUCCGGCAUGAGCGUAGCCUAACCACAAGCCUGCAGCCGCGCCAAGACGUAGGUCGCAGUCGUUCUCCGGAUUCAUGGGUUGUAAAGGGCGAGUAGGCGGGAAGGUAAGGCAGAUGGGAAAUCUUAGGGGUCAACCCUGAGCUUGCAUUUGCAACAGGUUGUCUUGAGUGCUGGAGAGGCAAGCGGAAUUCGGUGUGUAGCGGUGAAAUGCAUAGAUAUACGGAGGAACACCAGUGGCGAAGGCGGAUUGCUGGACAGUAACUGACGCUGAGGCACGAAAGCGUGGGGAGCAAACAGGAUUAGAUACCCCUGUAGUC